rnacentral:rRNA from 1 species
GACGAACGCUGGCGGCGUGCUUAACACAUGCAAGUCAAACGGUAAGGCCCUUCGGGGUACACGAGUGGCGAACGGGUGAGUAACACGUGGGUGAUCUGCCCUGCACUUCGGGAUAAGCCUGGGAAACUGGGUCUAAUACCGGAUAGGACCACUGCCUGCAUGGGUGGGGGUGGAAAGCUUUUGCGGUGUGGGAUGGGCCCGCGGCCUAUCAGCUUGUUGGUGGGGUGAUGGCCUACCAAGGCGACGACGGGGAGCCGGCCUGAGAGGGUGACCGGCCACACUGGGACUGAGAUACGGCCCAGACUCCUACGGGAGGCAGCAGUGGGGAAUAUUGCACAAUGGGCGCAAGCCUGAUGCAGCGACGCCGCGUGAGGGAUGACGGCCUUCGGGUUGUAAACCUCUUUCAGCACCGACGAAGCGCAAGUGACGGUAGGUGCAGAAGAAGGACCGGCCAACUACGUGCCAGCAGCCGCAGUAA